CCGGCGAUGUCCGAAUGGGGAAACCCAGUGCAAUUCGUUGCACUAUCGUUAACUGAAUACAUAGGUUAACGAGGCGAACCGGGGGAACUGAAACAUCUAAGUACCCCGAGGAAAAGAAAUCAACCGAGAUUCCCCCAGUAGCGGCGAGCGAACGGGGAGCAGCCCAGAGUCUGAAUCAGCUUGUGUGUUAGUGGAACGGUCUGGAAAGUCCGACGGUACAGGGUGAUAGUCCCGUACACCAAAA
rnacentral:rRNA from 1 species